UCCCCGUUACCGGGGCAGUUUGAAUAGAAAAAUACAACUAUUCACAAGGGUUGCGCUCGUUAAUGGACUUAACCAAACAUCUCACGACACGAGCUGACGACGGCCAUGCAUCACCUGUCACCUUGUUCAAUAAAGCACUCACUGCUUUCGCAGUAAUUCAAGGGAUGUCAAGCCCUGGUAAGGUUCUUCGUUUAUCAUCGAAUUAAAGAACACGCUCCACCGCUUGUGCGGGUCCCCGUCAAUUCCUUUAUGUUUUAGUCUUGCGACCGUACUCCACAGGUGGGAUACUUAACGCGUUAGCUUCGCUACGGAAGGGGUCGAUACCCCCCACAGCUAGUAUCCAUCGUUUACGGCGUGGACUAC
rnacentral:misc_RNA from 1 species